CGCCUCCCCAGGUGCCGGCGCGGCCCGGAGACUCCGCCGCUCCAAGUUCGCCCGCGGUCGCACGAGCUUGAACGCAUCCCGCAGUUGGCGGACAGCCAGUUGGUCUCAGUGAAGGAGUUUGGGUGUUUCUCAUGAAGUACCACCGAUCCCUAUGAGAAAUAUGUUUGUAGUGCUCCACGCCUGCUUGGAGAGUCCAAGAACUGCUGAAAACUGAUGGCCCUUGUCCGAGACAACAGGAAAUUUUCAGGUCACGUGUUUCCUUUCCAGAGAGUUGUUUUGUGGAUACAAUGGAGUCUUUAGCAUUCACAAGAUUUAGAGGACUUCAGCAUAAUUUUAUUUUCACAUACCAACAAUCACUUACGGCAAGUACCUUUUCUCUCCUGACCACCAUAGAGCACACUUUUGUUUCCCCAUCCAGUCCCCUGUCUCACUGGCCGCAGCUCUGAAACGGCUGUGUUCUUUACCACAGUCUUCCUGAGACAGGUUGCUGCCUCCUUUUAGGAAUACCCAUGGUAAACCCACCUGAGGAGGGUUUUGACUCAACUAAAACUUCAACCAGCAUCAGAGGCUUUCGAAGUAUAACUGAUAGGUACUAAAAAUGUCAGUAAUGUUGGUAGAUACCACACAAGAAAUUUUAAGCAGAUAAAGCACCGUUUAGCAAAAUUACCUACCAACAUCCUUUUUUUUUUUUUUGUGGUACGCGGGCCUCUCACUGUUAUGGCCUCUC